AUUGAACGCUGGCGGCAGGCCUAACACAUGCAAGUCGAACGAGUGGCGGACGGGUGAGUAAUGUCUGGGAAACUGCCAGAUGGAGGGGGAUAACUACUGGAAACGGUAGCUAAUACCGCAUCCCAUCGGAUGUGCCCAGAUGGGAUUAGCUUGUAGGUGAGGUAACGGCUCAACUAGGCGACGAUCCCUAGCUGGUCUGAUAGGAUGAUCAGCCACAGUGGAACUGAGACACGGUCCAGACUCCUACGGGAGGCAGCAGUGGUGAAUAUGGCACCAUGGGCGCAAGCCUGAGGCAGCCAUGCCGCGGGUAUGAAGAAGGCCUUCGGUUUGUAAAGUACUUUCAGCGGGGAGGCGUUACCCGCAGAAGAAGCACCGGCUAACUCCGUGCCAGCAGCCGCGGUAAUAC
rnacentral:rRNA from 1 species